UUGAGAGUUUGAUUCUGGCUCAGAACGAACGCUGGCGGCAGGCUUAACACAUGCAAGUCGAGCGCCCUGCUUGCAGGGAGCGGCAGACGGGUGAGUAACGCGUGGGAACGUGCCUAUUGGUUCGGAAUAGCCCCGGGAAACUGGGUGUAAUACCGAAUGUGCCCUUCGGGGGAAAGAUUUAUCGCCAAUAGAUCGGCCCGCGUUAGAUUAGCUAGUUGGUGGGGUAAAAGCCUACCAAGGCUACGAUCUAUAGCUGGUCUGAGAGGAUGAUCAGCCACAUCGGGACUGAGACACGGCCCGAACUCCUACGGGAGGCAGCAGUGGGGAAUAUUGGACAAUGGGCGCAAGCCUGAUCCAGCCAUGCCGCGUGAGUGAUGAAGGCCCUAGGGUUGUAAAGCUCUUUCAGCGAGGAGGAUAAUGACGUUACUCGCAGAAGAAGCCCCGGCUAACUUCGUGCCAGCAGCCGCGGUAAUACGAAGGGGGCUAGCGUUGUUCGGAAUCACUGGGCGUAAAGCGCACGUAGGCGGACUUUUAAGUCAGGGGUGAAAUCCCGGGGCUCAACCCCGGAACUGCC
rnacentral:rRNA from 1 species